GGCUCUGCUUCCAAAGGCAUAGGAGGAACGAUUCCUUGCCUGGUAGAGUGGCUUGUGCCCUGGCUGGGAUGUUGGAAACUGUUCUAGAAUCAGCCACCUCUGUUCAUUAACAGCUGUGUGCUUUGGCUCCUUCUCCUAACCCUUUGGAGUUGCCAUUUCUUAUCUCUAAAAUAACAGCAACAACUCAACAACCUUUGACUGAGGACAGACUGUUACAUUGGGCUGGACAAUGUGUGUUGAGAUAUAGCUACCACUUCCAGGAGAGUGAAGCAGUGGACACAAAGCAUUGGGUCACGUGGGCUAAGAGAGGAUAAUUUUAGAGAUUCUGGGAACUUCCUGGUCACCUGACUAGGUCAGCUAGUCAUGGAUCUAGCUGUCUGCUGAAGUAAAACUAUCUUCCAUUGCCUUCACACACUAUGAUUCCAGGGUCUACAGAUCCAACUCUGGCUUCGGUGGUUUCCUGGUGUCAAGGACACAAUCCUCCUUGCAUUAUCCAGUUUCACUGCCAGUGGGAAGAAAAACAUUGUCUUGUUCUUCUUUUCUCCAAUCACACCUAAACCAAUAUCACAUGGGACCUGUAGAAGCUGUGUCUCAGCUCAAAGAAAAGUACAUUGAUGUCCCUCACAUGCCUGCUGAAAACCUA